rnacentral:rRNA from 1 species
GACCCAAAGGGGGCGAGCGCAAGCGGCUCCCCGCUGAAGGAUGGGCCUGCGGCUGAUUAGCUAGUUGGUGGGGUAGCGGCCUACCAAGGCGACGAUCAGUAGCCGACUGAGAGGGUGACCGGCCACACUGGGACUGAGACACGGCCCAGACUCCUACGGGAGGCAGCAGUGGGGAAUAUUGCGCAAUGGGCGAAAGCCUGACGCAGCGACGCCGCGUGGGUGAUGAAGGCCUUCGGGUCGUAAAACCCUGUCGGGUGGAACGAAUUCCGCUUCGCUAAUACCGGAGCGGAUUGACGGUACCACCGAAGGAAGCCCCGGCUAACUACGUGCCAGCAGCCGCGGUAAUACGUAGGGGGCGAGCGUUGUUCGGAUUUACUGGGCGUAAAGAGCGCGUAGGCGGUUCGAUUAGUCGGAGGUGAAAUCCCUCGGCUCAACCGAGGACCCGCGUCCGAUACUGUCGAACUUGAGUGCAGGAGAGGAGAGCGGAAUUCCCAGUGUAGCGGUGAAAUGCGUAGAUAUUGGGAGGAACACCGGUGGCGAAGGCGGCUCUCUGGACUGUCACUGACGCUGAGGCGCGAAAGCUAGGGGAGCAAACGGGAUUAGAUACCCCGGUAGUCCUAGCCGUAAACGAUGGGCACUAGGUGUGGGAGGUAUCGACCCCUUCCGUGCCGCAGCUAACGCAUUAAGUGCCCCGCCUGGGGAGUACGGCCGCAAGGUUGAAACUCAAAGGAAUUGACGGGGCCCGCACAAGCGGUGGAGCAUGUGGUUUAAUUCGACGCAACGCGAAGAACCUUACCAGGGCUUGACAUCCCACGAAUCCCUUCGAAAGAAGGGAGUGCCCGCAAGGGAGCGCGGAGA